rnacentral:sRNA from 1 species
GGUUUUAACCCAAGUUAACCAAGGUUAGCAUGGAAUUCGACCUGUUGAAAAACUGUGUUGAACACAAUAAUUUUUGGAACAGCUUCUCCGGGGUUUCCGGAGAGGCGGA